CCAGUACAUCCUGUUAACUCCACAUCUGCAGAUAACAUACUCAACAUCAACACCAGCUUCCCAACUGAAACAGAAGUCAAGAAUGUGAUUAAGGCAACAAAGAAUGGGAAAGCUGCAGGCAUUGACCCCAUUCACGCCGAGAAGCUGAAGGCUGACCUCAACACCUCAGUUAAGGACCCUGUGGAAGAUAAGGAUGUUUUACCAUCAAUUUGAAUGUAGUGUCAUUGUAAUGGCAACUUCACUGAAUGGUUCUCCGUGGAAUCUGGUGUACAGCAGGGAUGUAUCACAUCCCCCAUUCUCUUCCUGAUUGCCAUUGACUAGACCAUGUGAAAAACCACCUCAGACAAGCCCAGAGGCAUCCAGUGGACUCUCUUCACCCAGCUGGAAUAUUUUGAUUAUGCUGAUGACCUGGCUAUCCUCUCUACGAAUCAUACUCACCUGCAAGAGAAGACAGAUAGGACUGACAGAUUUGCCAAACAGAUGAGUUUGAACAUUAACAUCGCCAAAACCGCAGUGAUGUGUAUAAAUUCAAUACCACAUGCACCAAUCACUGUGGAUGGUAACUCUCUCAAUUAUGUCAAGGAGUUUACAUAUUUGGGAAGUCUCCUCGGUAAGGACAAUGCAUGCAGCAAAGACAUCAGCGUAAGGCUUGGAAAAGCUUGCAGUGCAUUUGCAAGCCUUCAAACCAUCUGGAAGUCAAAGCGGUCAAGCCUAAAACUCAAGGUCCGACUGUAUAAUAGCAAUGUUAAGUCAGUUCUGCUGUACGGCUCAGAAUGCUGGCAAGUGGUUGAGACUGACAUAAAGAUUAAUGCAUUCCACAAUUGAUGUCUCCAGAAGAUAUGUUCCAUCUUUUGGCCAGAAAAGAUCUCCAAUGAGUCAAACUGUCACAAUGUGGUGCUAGAAAUUAAACAUCAAUGGCCUGGACAUGUCCUCAGAAUGGACAAGUACUGCAUUCCUAAAGUAGCCUUGAGAUGGACUCCACUUGGAAAGAGGAAACAAGGGAGGCCAAAAACAACCUGGCGGAGAACUGUGACCUCGGAACUGCAAACGGCUAAUCUAACUUGGGGUGAGGAACAACAUGCUGCACAAGAUAGGACCAGAUGGAAGCAGAUAGUUACAGCCUUAUAUUUCACGGGGAACCAAGAGGAUUAAUUAGCACCUGUGCCCCUGCGGAGGGGGAGUUCCGGAGAGGAGGAAACCCCCGGGGCAGCCAGGCACCUCACAGAUGGAUCGGUGGAAACAGAACAGCAGCACAAAUUAAGAAGGUAAAUCAAUUUUUUGUCAGAGGUAUUUUCAAUAAAGGCAACUCCUGC